GGCCUCUUGGCCCACGGGAGUAGGGGACUUUUCUCCAUCAGUCGUGACCAAUAUCAGCCUUGGAGAAUCGCUGUGAGGACUGCCACAGAUGAACAGUCUUGUCUUCCGAACUCAGACAUUU